GACGAACGCUGGCGGCGUGCUUAACACAUGCAAGUCGAACGGAAAGGCACUGCUUUUGUGGGGUGCUCGAGGGGCAAACGGGUGAGUAACACGAGAAUAACCUGCCCUUGACUUUGGGAUAACUUCAGGAAACGGGUGCUAAUGCCGGAUAGGAGCUCCUGCUGGAUGGUGGGGGUGGGAACGUUUCGGCGGGUGGGGAUGGACGGGCGGCUUAUCAGCUUGUUGGUGGGGUGGUGGCUUACCAAGUCAUAGGCGGGUAGGCCGCCUGAGAGGGUGACCGGCCACCUUGGGACUUAGGUAGGGCGCAGACUCCUACGGGAGGCAGCAGUGGGGAAUCUUACACAAUGGGCGGAAGCCUGAUGAAGGAACACCGGGUGUGGGAUGACGUCCUUCGGGUUAAAAACCGCUUUCGCCUGUGACGAAGCGCGACUGACGGUACUGGGUAAAGAAGCACCGGCUAACUACGUG
rnacentral:rRNA from 1 species